rnacentral:rRNA from 1 species
UCGACGGCAGCACGGGAGCAAUCCUGGUGGCGAGUGGCGAACGGGUGAGUAAUGUAUCGGAACGUACCUUUCAGUGGGGGAUAACGUAGCGAAAGUUACGCUAAUACCGCAUAUUCUGUGAGCAGGAAAGCAGGGGAUCGCAAGACCUUGCGCUGAUUGAGCGGCCGAUAUCAGAUUAGCUAGUUGGUGAGGUAAAGGCUCACCAAGGCGACGAUCUGUAGCGGGUCUGAGAGGAUGAUCCGCCACACUGGAACUGAGACACGGUCCAGACUCCUACGGGAGGCAGCAGUGGGGAAUUUUGGACAAUGGGCGCAAGCCUGAUCCAGCCAUGCCGCGUGAGUGAAGAAGGCCUUCGGGUUGUAAAGCUCUUUCAGCCGGGAAGAAAACGCAUGGGUUAAUACCCUGUGUGGAUGACGGUACCGGAAUAAGAAGCACCGGCUAACUACGUGCCAGCAGCCGCGGUAAUACGUAGGGUGCGAGCGUUAAUCGGAAUUACUGGGCGUAAAGCGUGCGCAGGCGGUUUGUUAAGAUAGGCGUGAAAUCCCCGGGCUCAACCUGGGAACUGCGUUUAUGACUGGCAGGCUAGAGUAUGGCAGAGGGGGGUGGAAUUCCACGUGUAGCAGUGAAAUGCGUAGAGAUGUGGAGGAACACCGAUGGCGAAGGCAGCCCCCUGGGCCAAUACUGACGCUCAUGCA